rnacentral:snoRNA from 1 species
UCGCGCGUGUAAAAUAUCCCUAGCGGGCAGGAUCUUUUCAACAUAAUGAAAAAGGUCAUAAUCAGUCUAGGUAAUAAAAAAUAAAAAUAAAAAAAAAAACGUUGUAAUGAGUUAUUUAUGCGUUACAACGCCUUUUUUUUUUUUUAA